UAUUUCAUUGACGUACAAAAUUAACUACUCCAAACAAACUACAUAUGGCAGCCCACACGCAUUGCCAAUCAUGGGCCAGCUAAACCAACCGCUUAAAGCGAUUAAGCUAACGGCUAGCUCAAGGCUAAUUCGCCUAAGGUUUAAUCCGGCAACACCAAUGUACUAUCUUAUGCCAGCUAGGGAACUAGGCCAUAGAAAACAAGAGACUAGGGAUGACAAAAGUGGUGCCAGCAGUCGCGGUUACACCACUACCCCAGGUUAAUUAACGCACUCAAGGGGUCGAUAACAGGCUAAAAGAUUAACUUUUAAUGUAAAAAGUAAAUUCUAACCAAACCCAACACAGCCAUCACCUAACACCACCCCAACAAACCACAACUUCAAGACACGGAUUAGAUACCCGACUAUUGUGUGGCCCAACACCUAAAAGAAUACUACGAGCGAAAGCUUAAACCUCAAACAAUGUGGCGGUACUUAAUUCCUCAUCAGGGGAUCCUGUGACUUAAAUCGAUAAUCCACGAAAACCCUAGCUAUUCUUGCUCUGCAGCUUGUGUAUGGCCGUUUUUGCUUGCUCGGAAAAGACCAAAAAGGAAGCAAUAGGGGCACAACCCCCAACAAUUCAGGUAACAUACAGCCAAUGAACAGCCGACUCAUGUGAUACAAAUAAACAUACUACCAGCUUUAGCCUCAAAACACUAAUAAAGGAGGACUUGAAAGUAAGGCUUUAGUCCACCAAACUAGCCUGAACAAGAACUUAAGUGCGCACAAAUCGCCCGUCACUCCGGCAGAAAAAUCGGAUAAGUCGUAACACAGUAGGGGUAAUGGAAAUUGCCCCUAUCAUA
rnacentral:rRNA from 1 species